CAUUUCUGCAAAGGGUCAGAUUAACUACUUAUGAAUAAACAUCCCUGUUAACUACUUAUACUCUACAUUCUUUGUACUUAAGACUAAACAUCUUUUUAAAUCGAAAUUUUUACCCUGAAAACAAUGUCAUCCCUUUAAAUGUAAGCGAAUAUCACGCAAGUAAGUAAGGAAAAAUCCUUUCACACAAUAAUUAGUAAUUAAAUUUAAAUAAAUUUAUUAUAUUUUUCGAAUUAAUAUGAAAUAUAUAUUAAAAUUUUGCUUUUAGCCAGAACUGUAAGUAAGUAUGUUCUUCUAGAAAACGAAAUUUUCCUACUUUUUAACAUCCUUUAUUAAAAUUUGUAAUUGUUCUUUAUCAUACAUUGAUAGCUAAAUCAUUUUUAGAUCGAAGAUUCAUGCAUAUUCUAGAGAAAAUUCUGCUCCAUAUACUGUAAGCAAUAAGAGUAUAUCCCAACAAAUAAAAACUCAAUAAGGAUGUUCAAAAAUCUAUACAGAAAUAUAAAUACCUAAAAAAUUACUAAUAAAAGGCAAACAUUUAAUCUCAAAUCUCGAUUCAGCAUUAAUUUUUCUUAAAAAAGGGUCAGAUUUUUUAUUUUUUCAUUUCCAUUUUUUUACCAUUUCCUGAAAAAAUUUAAUAAUUAAUCCAAAAAAUAAGAAGAAUUUUAAAGAAAAACUUCCAUUAAAAAGCAAUUAAUUUAUAACUUCUUCCAUGUCGCUGCCUAGAGAAUUAAAGAGGAUAAAUUUUAAUUUAUAAAAUAAGAAAUCUCAAACAUAUACUCGCCCUUUCAAUCAUUCAGCAAAGAAAAAGACGUGGUAAUUUUAGAUAAAAUUCUUAGGCCAUAUCCUGAAUUCAAAAAUUUUUAAAAUUAGCUUUUUAAUCAACAAAAGGAUCGAAAAUUUAUUUUUGGAAAACCCCCCCCCCCCCCCCUUCAAAAGACAAAAAUCCAAUUUUUGAACAGUCAUAAAUACUAACUGGAUCCAAAUAAGCAAUGUUCAUCAAAAAUUCAGGCCCUGUACUUUGAAAAUAAAUUUUAAAAAUUUUCAACAAAUUUUUAAACUACAUACAAAGCCCUGAACAAUUUAUUUUCACGAGGGCCCUGGGACUAAUAUCCUCCAAUUCUGGCCCCCCAAUUAAUAUUUACAUUUGAGAAGAAAUUGUUUUGUAGUUGCAAAAAAGUAAUAAAUAUAUAAAAUAAAAAAUAAAUACUUGAUUUAAAAUAAAGAAAAUGAAAUAAAUAAUUGAACUAAUAGAAUUAAUUUAAUUAAUAAAAUUAAUUUUGGUUUAAUAGAAUUAAAUAAUAAAAUUUUUAUUUAAUUACAAAAUUAAUUUAAUUAAUGAAAUUAAUAGUAUUAGUGAAAAAAUUUAAUUGGAAAAUUUAUGUAAUUAAAACAUAAAUUAAAAAUUUUAUUUGCAAAAAAGAAACAAGAAAUUAAAAAUUUUAUUUAAAAAAAUAAAACUUUAAAUAUUUAUUUAGUAAAGUAAAAGAAAAAUUAACUGCUUAAAUACUAUUUUAUUUUUAAAUAGGCCAAAAGUUAAUCUCAAUAUGUAGUGAAAAUUUUUUAUUUUUUCCAUUAAUUUCUAAAAAUAGUGUGUAAUGAGUGUUUAGUGGGAGUGUAGAAAUGAGUGGGAGCGUGAUUAAUGAAAGCCGAUCACCCCUUUUCACAUUUUGUGCCCAAUCACUCUUUCCAUUAUAUACACACACACUUACUGCACAAUUGCACUCUAUGCCAAAAUUUAAUCUAAAUAUGUAAUGGAGAAAUUUUUUAUUUUUUCCUUAAUUUAUAAAAAUAGUGUGUAAUGAGUUUUAGUGGGAGUGUAGAAAUGAAUGGGUGAGUGAUUAAUGAAAGCCGAUCUCCCCCUUUUCACUUUUUGUGCCCAAUCACCCUUUCCAUUAUAUACACACACACUUACUGCACAAUCGUUUCACUAACACUUUUCCUUUACAUAUUGAAUAGCCUUUUGGUUUUUUGUUAAUAAAAUAAAUAUUUCAUUUAUAUUUUUAUUUUUUAAAUAAAUUUCUUAAUUUCUCUUUUAUUCUAUUAAAUAAAUAUUUAAAUUUUUAUUUUUUUAAAUAAAUUUUCUAAUUAAAUUUUUCAUUACUACUAUUAAUUUCAUUAAUUAAAUUAAUUUUGUAAUUAAAUAGAACAUUUUUUUAUUUAAUUCUAUUAAACCAAAAUUAAUUUUAUUAAUUAAAUUAAUUCUAUUAAUUCAAUUAUUUAUUUUAUUUUCUUUAUUUUAUAUCACUUAUUAUUCUUUAUUUUAUAUGAAUAGCUGCUUACUUUCUAAAAACUUCAAGUAAAUAUUUUUGAUGCCCGUUGGUAACCUUUUUUCAUAUCAAAAAUUUAAAAUAUAGAAUUUUUAGUUAAUAAGAAAACCUUAAACAUUUUAGAUUUAUUAGAAAAUCUGUAGCCUUUAUUUCGGAAACCCUUUAGUGGUUAAUUGAACACUUUAAUUAGUUUUUCUAAAAAAUUUUAAAACUUCCAUUUCAAUAUCUAUUUUCAA